CAGUCGAACGAAACUUCUUUAUCACCGAGUGCUUGCACUCACCGAUAAAGAGUUGAGUGGCGAACGGGUGAGUAACACGUGGGCAACCUGCCCAAAAGAGGGGGAUAACACUUGGAAACAGGUGCUAAUACCGCAUAACCAUAGUUACCGCAUGGUAACUAUGUAAAAGGUGGCUAUGCUACCGCUUUUGGAUGGGCCCGCGGCGCAUUAGCUAGUUGGUGGGGUAAAGGCUUACCAAGGCAAUGAUGCGUAGCCGAACUGAGAGGUUGAUCGGCCACAUUGGGACUGAGACACGGCCCAAACUCCUACGGGAGGCAGCAGUAGGGAAUCUUCCACAAUGGGCGAAAGCCUGAUGGAGCAACGCCGCGUGGGUGAAGAAGGUCUUCGGAUCGUAAAACCCUGUUGUUAGAGAAGAAAGUGCGUGAGAGUAACUGUUCACGUUUCGACGGUAUCUAACCAGAAAGCCACGGCUAACUACGUGCCAGCAGCCGCGGUAAUACGUAGGUGGCAAGCGUUAUCCGGAUUUAUUGGGCGUAAAGGGAACGCAGGCGGUCUUUUAAGUCUGAUGUGAAAGCCUUCGGCUUAACCGGAGUAGUGCAUUGGAAACUGGGAGACUUGAGUGCAGAAGAGGAGAGUGGAACUCCAUGUGUAGCGGUGAAAUGCGUAGAUAUAUGGAAGAACACCAGUGGCGAAAGCGGCUCUCUGGUCUGUAACUGACGCUGAGGUUCGAAAG
rnacentral:rRNA from 1 species